UUCACUUGAAUCCCCUUUGAUCUUUAAAUAAGUAUUUUGUUUUUAACUAACUUACAUUGGUAAAAUAUUUUGCUACUUUCAUAUUAGCAAUGUUGUGGUUUCCGAUUAUUGUGAAUCGCCAUUUUUCCUGGCUCCAUGCCAUUCGUGAGUGGCUCUUUUUGGUCUUUUCAUCAUUUCUUUUCAUCAUCUCUUUUCAUUACAUCAACAUUUCAACA
rnacentral:lncRNA from 1 species